rnacentral:lncRNA from 1 species
GAUUGGUGCAGAAGUUUGGGGGGGAGCCCAAAACUAUCAUGGUUUUCGGACAGAAAUGCAAUAUGCCCUCAAUCUGCAGUUUGAUGAAUUCCUGACGAGGAAUCACGAGUGGCUUUCGUGAUUGAGCAUCUUGAAAAGGGGGCGAGAGACUGGGUUAGAACCCUGAUGGCAGCUAAUAGUGACGUCUUAAAGGACACGAUGAAGUUCUUUCGCGCCAUGGAUCUGAUGUUUUCCAGCGAUAUUGAAAAGGGAGUGGUGCGCAGACAGUUAAUGGGUUGCAAACAGGGGAGCCGAUCUGUCCGUGAGUACUGGACUGAGUUCACCAUGCUUGUUCACAGAUUGGGGUGGGACUUAUCGGCGGAACCCAUUCAAAUGCUCUUGAAGAAGGGCUUUCUUCGGCUGUGAAAGACGAACUUUCCCGGGCGCCCAGGGCGGAGUCUAUGGACCAGCUGACCAAAUCAGCGCUGGCCAUAGGAGCGCGCCAGGAGGCGAGAGCAUUGGAGAGGCGGGAAGGGAAAGGGGAACGUUGGAAGGAGUUCCGCAUUCCAGACAUUCCAGAGCCAACUUUCCCACCGGCAGAGCCGAUGGAAAUCGGAACAGCGGCGCGCGCGCAGUUUCAAAGCCCAGUGAGGGGGCAAAGAAGGAGGGAAAAGGCGCCCGGAAAUGCUAUCUCUGCCAACAGCCAGGUCACUUUGCCAGAGUCUGCCCCCAGAGGAAAGAAUGGCAAGGGAUGGUAGGAGCUGUGGAUGGAAGAGAGGAAAUAUACCGGAGCAAGUAAAAGCCAACGCCUGGCUGCCACUGUCAGGGCACAGCAGCCAGGCCAAAGAGCAGUGAGAGUGCCCACGCCAGAACCUCCUAAACCCGCCCUAGUGAUAGAAGUGACGCUAGAGCUGCCAAACGGACACCCUCUAAAGAUAAAGGCGCUGUUGGACUCAGGCAGCUCCUGCAAUUUCAUGAGCAAAGAGUUUGCAGCUGAACACCAGAUACAGACAAUCCUUUAAGCAGCCCCCUGCAGGUGACCACGAUCGAUGGCAGGGAGCUGUUGGGUGGAGAAGUCAGCUUGCAGACCGUCCCAAUGAUAAUGAAGGUAGCAAGGCACACCGAACUGAUAGCUUUUAAUGUGGCCACCUUGGGAGGAGCUCCCAUUAUAUUGGGGAUGAGCUGGCUAGCGUUACAUGAUCCGCUGGUGGGCUGGCAUCAGAGAGUGGUUUCUUUUGGUUCAGCACAUUGCUUAGAACACUGCAAAGAGGGAAAGGGUUUGGCAGGGGUCCAAGCCACCCUAGCAGGGACUGAAGUAACAGAGAACGUGAAGGUACCACGACAAUAUGCAGAUCUCCGUGACGUCUUCAGCGAAAGGGAAGCUGCCCCCCACCCCCGCAUAGGCCCUUUGACUGUCAAAUCAACUUACUCCCUGGAGCACAGCUCCCUGUAGGCAAGCUGUACGCCAUGUCAGACAGAGAGAUGCAGGAGUUAAGAGAGUUCAUUGACAAGAACCUGAAGAGAGGGUUCAUCAGAGAGUCCAGGGCGGUGGGGGGCAGCCCAGUGUUUUUUGUGGAUAAGAAAAACACGAACAAGCCGAGGCUGGUGUGUGACUUCAGGGCCUUAAAUGCAGUGUCAGAACCAGUAGCCUUCCCUAUGCCCAGGAUUGACGACAUUUUGACAAGGGUGCGGAAGGGAAAGAUUUUCACAAAGCUGGACCUAAGGGGGGCGUACAACCUGGUACGAAUAAGGAAGGGGGAUGAAUGGAAAACCACUAUGUUCACCCCUUUAGGGGCAUUUGAAUAUUUGGUUAUGCCCUUCGGCCUACAAGCAGGCUCCGCAACAUUUCAAUCGUUUAUGAACCACGUCCUGGGGCCUUUGCUUUACAAGAAUUGUGUGGCCUUUUAGACGACGUGUUGGUGUAUUCUGAGAAUGAGGAGCAGCAUGUGAGAGACGUCAGAGAAGUGUUGAGCAGGCUGCAAGCCAACCAGCUGUGGGUGAAACUGGGAAGUGUCAGUUUCAUACCAAGGAGGUGGAAUUCCUGGGGUAUCGCCUGUCAGACAAGGGAUUGGCCAUGGAUCCCGGCAAGGUCCAGGCGGUGCUGGAAUGGAAAACACCCAAAACAAAGAAGGAUGUGCAGAGGUUCCUAGGAUUUGGGAACUUCUAUCGUAAGUUCAUCCGAAACUUUGCCCACCUGACGGCGCCCAUUACGGACUGUCUCAGCAGUAAGAAGAAGUUCGUGUGGACUGAGGAGGCGGAGCGAGCAUUUGAGGAACUAAAAGGGCCUUCGCCUCGGAACAACAACUCCUGCAUGUGGAUUUACAAAAACCGAUGAGAGUGGAAACUGACGCAUCAGACAGAGCGAUUGGGGCGGUGCUUCUGCAGCCAGGCAAGAAGGGGUCAGAGUGGAGACCGUGUGCCCUUUUUUCGCGAAAGCUGAACAAAUCCGAGAGGAACUACACGGUGUAUGACCGAGAACUACUAGCCAUUCAUGAGGCGUUCCGGAGAUGGAGGCACCUGCUAAUUGGCGCACAACAUAAGGUGCAAGUGUGCACUGACCACAAGAACCUAGAGUAUUGGAGGACGGCACGAGUGCUCAACCAACGGCAAGUGAGAUGGGCCCAGGAGUUCUCCAAAUUUAACUUUGAGAUUAGUUACGUGCCAGGCCCAGAGAACAUUAGGGCGGACGCUCUCUCACGCAAACCUGAAUAUUUGGAGGGGGAGGGGGCACCCGAAGAGAGACAUGUCAUUCCAGAGGACCGCUGGGUGUGUGGGGCGGCAUUGGUGGGACAAAGAGAACUGGUAGAGGAAACAGAGAAUGAUGAAUACGCCCAGAAUAAGCUCAGAGGUCUUAGGGGUGAUGGAGAGGAACCAGGGGGUUCGAGGAAAGAAAUGGAGCUUUGUAUUACAAAGGGGCACUGUAUAUCCCUGAAGGAGAGUUAAGGGGGAGGGUACUCAAGCAGUUGCACGACAGCCCUACGGCAGGGCAUUUUGGACAACACAAAACCAUGUGGUUGGUCACCAGGGAAUUUUGGUGGCCUAAGGUGAGGGAAGAUGUACGUGAGUAUGUAAGAGGGUGCGAGCAAUGCCAGCGAGCCAAAGGGGAAAGGCGGGCGCCGGCGGGGCUAUUAGAACCCUUACCAACCCCAGAACGACCUUGGGAGGCAGUGUCGAUAGAUUUUAUGACUGAUCUGCCGAAGUCCAAAGGGAAAACAGCCAUCAUGGUGGUGGUAGACCUACUAACAAAGAUGUGCCACUUUGUAGCUUGCUCGCAUGCAGUCACGGCGGAAGAGACAGCGAAGUUAUUUGUAGAAAACAUUUUUAGGUUGCACGGAGUGCCAUUGAGGGUGGUCUCAGACCGAGGAAAACAAUUUACUUCCAGGUUCUGGAGGAAGCUCAUGAGCUUACUGCAGGUGGAGGUCAAUUUUUCGACUGCCCGGCACCCUGAAACCAACGGGCAGGCGGAAAGAGCAAACGGUGUCCUCCAGCAAUACCUGAGGUGUUAUGUCAAUGACAGAGAGAAUGACUGGGUAGAAAAGUUGGCGCUGGCGGAAUUUGCCUACAACAAUGCCGAGAAUGUGUCCACAGGGAUGAGCCCCUUCUUGGCUAAUUAUGGGUGUCAUCCCAGGGCUUUCCAGGGGGAGAGGGGGAGAGAUGGAGCGUCCCGGCAGCCGAGCAUUUUGUGGAAGAAAUGGAAGCAAUCCAUCGUCAGCUCCAACUCAACUUAGAAAGGGCGAAGGAAGAAUACAAGAGGCAGGCAGACAAGAACCGAAGGGAAGGUGAAACCAUAAGGGUGGGAGAUAGGGUGUGGCUGUCAACCCCAGGGGUGCCGUUCAAAGGAGGUUGUAAGAAAUUAAGACCCAGGAGGUUGGGUCCCUUUGAGGUCAUUCAACAGGUCAACCCAGUGGCUUUCAGGCUCCGGUUACCCAACCACAUGAAACUGCACCCAGUAUUUCACAGGUCGUUACUGUCACCGUACGAAGGGGGACGAGAAGGGCUGGCCACUCGGGACCGGUCGUAGAAGAAAGAGAAUGCAGCAGCCAUGUGGCAGAAAUCCUCGACGCCAGGUGGAAGGGGGAUCAGGUGGAGUAUUUGGUAGCGUGGGAAGGAGAACCGGAGUCAGAAAACACUUGGGUAAUGGCUGAAGAUAUCAAUGACGAGGUAUUGAUAGAAACGUUCCAUCAAAGGUUCCCAAGGAAACCUCAGCCUGUGGAGAGGUUCCGGAGGGAAUACUUUGGGACCACUGAUGAAGGGGAGGAGUUGGAAGGAUUCCCGGACUCGGAAGGGGAAGGGGAGAUGGACUCUGAGGAGGAGGUGUACUUCGAGACCAGGAACCGCAACAGGUUGAGAGAAGUGUUCGAGACAUCGGAAGAUGAAGGAAGUUCAUUCCGGGUUUUGCCUCCUCACCGCCCGUAGAGGAGGGGGCGAGAGGGGGUGAAGGGGGCCCUGGAGGGGAGGUGGAUGUCAGGGAACUGCCAUCGGACGGAAGGGAGGUGAAAGGGCUCACACAGGUUGGGAGAGACGCAGCAGCUGAAGAGGGAACCAGCAGGGAGGUGAAAGGGCUCACACAGGUUGGGAGAGACGCAGCAGCUGAAGAGGGAACCAGCAGGGAGGUGAAAGGGCUCACACAGGUUGGGAGAGACGCAGCAGCUGAAGAGGGAACCAGCAGGGGGAGAGGAGCUGAGCUGGAGGGAUGGCUCAGAGACACUUCCAGCGAAAACAGUGGGGAGGUUUCAGGACCUCCUGUAAGAACACCCACUCUCGCCGGAAACUGUCACGCAGAGAUUCCAGAAGACGUGUUUCCGUUAAGGAGCUUUUAUGUUGGAAGCGAUUACGAAAGCAACCACUGUCGGAAUCUGCUAGUGACUAGAGUAGCCAUGUCUGAGGGGCUCCGUCACAGACAGAGGUUUGUGGACUUGAACAAACUCUGAGGGGAUACGAUUUUACGCACAAGCAGCUCAUCAUCCCAUCACA